CCUGGUGGCUCAGCGGUAAAGAAUCUGCCUGCAAUGCAGGAGACCCAGGUUCGAUCCCUGGGUCAGGA
rnacentral:tRNA from 1 species